GUUUGCAACCACUCUUGUGUCUCUUUCUCCCUUUGGAUCGCAGCAACAGAUUGCACCCUGCACCAACCCAGACUCCAGGCUAUAAACUCCCGUCGCUGGGACUAACCUGUCUGCGGAAGUACCGCCCCGCUGCCGGCACCGAUUGGAGAUCAAUGAGAUCUCAGCCCCUGUCCUUGUCGCCCAACUUUCCGGACGGUGGGUGGUCAGGUAAACUGUCAAUUAGGUGACGUCUUCCAGAAGGACCCCCUCGGUAUCCUCUCCCCCCCCUACACCCACCCAAACACACACAGAACCCUCCUAUCUCAGAAUAUAGACCCCGAGCUGCCCGUAAAUGGCAGCAGAGCUAAUGAUCAGGGAAAGCGAGACAAAGCAAAUAUAUGGAGAAGGAGCAUAGAACAAAUGACACCGCGGAGGGAGGAGGGUCCAGCAGAACGAGGAAAGUUGAGGAAGCAAACCCAUCUGGGAAACUAGAUACCUCCGAACUACUGUCUGACGAGGGAGUCAUGGAAGAGUAACAGGUGGAAGAACAAUAGGACAGUGAUGAUGAAGAAAUUCUGUUACUAUAUCUCACACUGGCAGCCACCAUCUUUAGAAAGAGCAUGCAGAAUCCAGAGUGUUGCACCCACCUUCCUCAUCAAAGACCAUCUUCCCUUACUUGUGGCAAAUUUUCAGGCUGCAGGAUUGAAUUAUUCAGCCAAUAAAGAGUAUGGAGUGGAAGCAAGUCAUACCUGACUCUGAAGGAUUGUCAAAGCCAAAGAAAACAUGCUGCAGGCACAAGCAGGCUUUCCAAAGUCUCUGCAAUCAAGAAAGACCAUCCCGCAAGUCAUGCCUCAUCCACCUCGCAUGGAUGCUUCUGGGCAACAAAGCUGCUUCCUGCAUACCCCACCAGCUGACACCCGAGGAGGUAUUUUCUCUAGAUUAGUCGGAACAUCUCAUUACCACAUCUUUGCAACUGUCUAAGGCAUAGAAACUGAGAAAUAUAGAAACCAAGUGUAGGAAUAGGCCAUUCAGGUCCACCAUUCAAUAAGAUCAUGGCUGAUCAUCCAACUCAGUGUCCUGUUCCGCUUUCACCACAUAUCCUUUGUUACCAUCAGCCCGAAGGACUAUAUCUAAUUCAUUCUGGAAAACAUUCACUAUUUUGGCCUCAACCACUUUUUGUUGUAAUGCCACAGGCUCACCACUCCCUGAGUAAAGAUACAUGUCCUCAUCUCAGUCCUAAAUGCACUAUCCCAUAUCAUUAGAAUAUGACCCCUGAUUCUGGACUCCCCAGUCAUCCAGUGCAUCCUUUCUGCAUUUAUCCUGUCUAGUCCUGUUGGAAUUUUUUUAGGUUUCUAUGAGAUCCUCCCUCAUUCUUGUAAACUCCAGUGAUAAUAGUCCUAAAACAUCCAGUCUCUCUUUCAGACAUCAGUCCUGCCAUCCCAGGAAUCAGUCAGGAGGCAGUAACACCCCAGGUCACUGGCACUCAGAGGGCUCCAUGGUGUCAGCAAUUAAGGAUUUCAUACAAAUGCAUAAGCAGACACAGCAACGGAAAGUAGGCAUAUCAGGGUAGCAAGGCAAUGUAAGAAUAAGGCUGUAGGACUGGAGCAAGGCUGCUUAGGACCCUGUAUGAGCAUCUGGCUGCUUCUAUUGACAGUUUCCAUAGAGAAGCAGGUCCCAAGUCCUCAGAAUCUGCUGGAUAUACGUACACAGACGUUUGAGCUGUGGCAUUUUGAUAAGGCAAAUCAGGGCAAGACUUAUAUAGAUCAGGGUAAGGCCCUGGGUGUGUUGCCAAACAAAGAGACCUAAGGGUGCAGGUGCAUUGUUCCUUGAUAGUGGAGUUACAGGUAGACA